UCGAUUGAGUUUGAUCCUGGCUCAGGACGAACGCUGGCGGCGUGCUUAACACAUGCAAGUCGAGGGCACUCAGCAAUGAGUGACCGGCGAACGGGUGCGUAACACGUGAGCGACCUGCCGUACCUGUGGGGGAUAGCCGGCCCAACGGCCGGGUAAUACCGCAUACGAUCGUUUUGUCGCACGGCGAGACGACGAAAGCUUGGCGCAAGUCAGGCGCAGGACGAGGGGCUCGCGGCCUAUCAGCUNGUUGGCGGGGUAACGGCCCACCAAGGCGACGACGGGUAGCUGGUCUGAGAGGAUGGCCAGCCACAUUGGGACUGAGAGACGGCCCAGACUCCUACGGGAGGCAGCAGUGGGGAAUCUUGCGCAAUGNCCGAAAGGCUGACGCAGCGACGCCGCGUGUGGGAGGACGCCCUUCGGGGUGUAAACCACUGUUGCCCGGGACGAAUUCCCGCUUGGCGGGAUUGACGGUACCGGGUGAGGAAGCACCGGCUAACUCCGUGCCAGC
rnacentral:rRNA from 1 species